GGUGACUUACCGCGGUGAGCCCGGAGUCUCGUUCAGAACCAUCAGCUCACUACCCGUACGCCUGGAACCAAUACGACACCUUAACUAUAUACUUCAAUAAUUUCUCCAUUUAAUUCCCAAGUCGGUAAACAUCAACACAUAUGAUUGAUGUCAACUAAAGCUUUUUGGAGUCCUGCACGGAAACCGGAGAGCCACUGCUUCUGGAUUCCCUGACAUGACUUCCUGACCCUCGCCUUCUCCCUCGAUGAUGCAAGAACCUCCAGGUCGCUGUCGUCAUGGGGCUGGAGUUCACCUGGUG